rnacentral:rRNA from 1 species
UGGGGAAUAUUGCACAAUGGGCGCAAGCCUGAUGCAGCCAUGCCGCGUGUAUGAAGAAGGCCUUCGGGUUGUAAAGUACUUUCAGUCGGGAGGAAGGUGGUAAGGUUAAUAACCUUAUCAAUUGACGUUACCGACAGAAGAAGCACCGCCUAACUCCGUGCCAGCAGCCGCGGUAAUACGGAGGGUGCAAGCGUUAAUCGGAAUUACCGGGCGUAAAGCGCACGCAGGCGGUUGAUUGAGUCAGAUGUGAAAUCCCCGGGCUUAACCCGGGAAUUGCAUCUGAUACUGGUCAGCUAGAGUCUUGUAGAGGGGGGUAGAAUUCCAUGUGUAGCGGUGAGAUGCGUAGAGAUGUGGAGGAAUACCUGUGGCGAAGGCGGCCCCCUGGACAAAGACUGACGCUCAGGUGCGAAAGCGUGGGGAGCAAACAGG